rnacentral:rRNA from 1 species
CCUACGGGAGGCAGCAGUGGGGAAUUUUGGACAAUGGGGGCAACCCUGAUCCAGCAAUGCCGCGUGAGUGAAGAAGGCCCUCGGGUUGUAAAGCUCUUUUGUCAGGGAAGAAACGGUGGUUCCUAAUACGAGCUGCUAAUGACGGUACCUGAAGAAUAAGCACCGGCUAACUACGUGCCAGCAGCCGCGGUAAUACGUAGGGUGCAAGCGUUAAUCGGAAUUACUGGGCGUAAAGCGUGCGCAGGCGGUUUUAUAAGACAGAGGUGAAAUCCCCGGGCUCAACCUGGGAACUGCCUUUGUGACUGUAAGGCUAGAGUGUGUCAGAGGGGGGUAGAAUUCCACGUGUAGCAGUGAAAUGCGUAGAUAUGUGGAGGAAUACCGAUGGCGAAGGCAGCCCCCUGGGAUAACACUGACGCUCAUGCACGAAAGCGUGGGGAGCAACAGAUAGAUACCUCGUAGUCACCGACCCUAACCGAUGUCUACUAGUUGUCGGGUACGUUAAUUAGUUCUUGGUUAACGGUCGAGCUAACGCGUGAAGUAAGACCGCCGUGGGGAGGUACGGUCGCGAGAUUAAAACUAACAAAUAGAAGUUAGACGGCGUGAGACGUGCCGAACGGACGACCACCGAGGGGAGGUUAGGG